rnacentral:rRNA from 1 species
GAGUUUUGAUCCUGGCUCAGGAUGAACGCUGGCGGCGUGCCUAAUACAUGCAAGUCGUACGAAGGAGCUUGCUCCUUAGUGGCGAACGGGUGAGUAAUACAUAAAUAAUCUGCCUCAAUGUCUGGGAUAACUAUUGGAAACGAUAGCUAAUACCGGAUAGCUUGUUAGAAGACAUCUUCUUUCAACUAAAGGAGCGUUCGCUCCGCUUUGAGAUGAGUUUAUGGCGCAUUAGUUAGUUGGCGGGGUAAUGGCCCACCAAGACGAUGAUGCGUAGCCGAUCUGAGAGGAUGACCGGCCACACUGGGACUGAGACACGGCCCAGACUCCUACGGGAGGCAGCAGUAGGGAAUUUUCGGCAAUGGGCGAAAGCCUGACCGAGCAACGCCGCGUGAGUGAUGAAGGCCUUCGGGUUGUAAAGCUCUGUUGUUAGGGAAGAAUGAUCAGGAUAGGAAAUGAUCUUGAAGUGACGGUACCUAACCAGAAAGCCACGGCUAACUACGUGCCAGCAGCCGCGGUAAUACGUAGGUGGCAAGCGUUAUCCGGAAUUAUUGGGCGUAAAGGGUGCGUAGGCGGUUUACUAAGUCUUAUGUGAAAUCUCAGAGCUUAACUCUGGGCUGCAUAAGAAACUAUUAGACUAGAGUGCAGGAGAGGGCAACGGAAUUCCAUGUGUAGCGGUAAAAUGCGUAGAUAUAUGGAGGAACACCGGUGGCGAAGGCGGUUGCCUGGCCUGUUACUGACGCUGAAGCACGAAAGCGUGGGGAGCAAAUAGGAUUAGAUACCCUAGUAGUCCACGCUGUAAACGAUGAAUACUAAGUGUUGGGAUAAAACUCAGUGCUGCAGUUAACGCAAUAAGUAUUCCGCCUGGGGAGUACGCACGCAAGUGUGAAACUCAAAGGAAUUGACGGGACCCCGCACAAGCGGUGGAUUAUGUUGUUUAAUUCGACGCAACGCGAA